UGAGUUUUCUUGUAAUUCGCUGAGUUUCUUCAUGACAGCUGUUUUGAAUACUCUGUCAGCUAGAUAGCAGUCUUCUGUGACUUCAAGUUUAGUUUCUGGAGAGUUGUCAUUUUUCUUUCUGUUCUUCCGUGUUACUGUAGUUCUUCAUGGUACUUGAUGAGUUGAUCCUCUGCCAGUAUAUUUGUGACAGUAACCACCUUUCUUAUUUAGGUCAGGCUUUGGUUACUUUGGUUCUGAGCUGCUUCUGGUUGAGAGCCCCCACUUUCCACCCCCACUUGAGAGCCCCCACUUUCCACCUUCCACCGCCUCUGCUAGAGGCGUCGUCAGUGCCCUCCUUGUGCUGCUUGUGGCUUUGAGGUUGCUGGUGCCUUGCUGCUUAUGAUGUCACUGCAGUCUCAGAUGUCACCACUGGGAUCACCAGGCUAUGAGCACUUCUGCUGCUUCCAGGGUGGCUUGAGUAUCAUGUUCCUCCACCGGCUCUCUGUGGUCUCUCUACGGCUCAGCUGCUUACCACACUUCAACUGCCAACAGAUUCUUCUUGGACCCACUGGUUCUGCUGCAUGGGGCUGGCCAGCAACCCUUCCGUUAGCUGCGACCAACCAACUUCAUGCCCAGUAUUUCUGGCUUCUCCUGUCACUUCUGGUAUCUUGCACGGCCUCAGGAGGGGCUGGAUGAUGCAAUGAGUGUUUGCAGAGGAGUAAACUCCUCAUGAGAUGAAUUUUGACCAAUUGGAAACAGAAGAUGGGAGGAAGCCAGGAGGAUAGGAUAAACUCCCCCUCCUUCCUCUCCUGCUCUGAGAUAUAGUUUCUCUGUAUGGCCUGUCCCAGAAACAUGACAUCUCAUGUUGAGUGACCUGCUGUGUCACUUCAGGACUCAUUAGGAAACAAUGCCCAGCAAAGUAACCUCUCACCUUGCAUUGCUCCCAUCCUCUGCUAUAUGUAGGAGGCUUGGGGGACUUUGAGGCUGAUCCUGGAACAAGACAUGACCACAAGGUGGCAGUAUCACACACAGCUUUGUUUGGGAUGCUUGAUAGGUUUGAUGUUAUAUACAAAUUUCAAAUCCCAGGUGCACGUGAAAGGGGAGAAGGUUUUGGGUGAUGAAGUUCCUUCAGGCACUUCAAAUCAUGCCAUUUGAUAAAAGCAAGUGCGCGGUCCCACAACUCUUACCUAGGAGGAUCGGGCAGGACACCAUCAGCUCUUGUCAGGAAUCCCACUUAGGUUUGUUUGUGGCUUAAGACAAGUCCUACUCACACUUCACCUCUGAAAAAGGCAAUAUUGAGACUCCCGUGUGGGUUCCAAGUGGGACUGGAGUUUCUGACUCCUGUCUGAUCCACUGUCUCCACCCAUCCAACAUAAACGGAUGAAGAACUUAAUGUGGCCCUGUUUAAAAUUUUUGCAAAGAAAACGUGCACUAUCCUUUUGACCUUCACUAGGGAAAGCAUUUUUAAACAAAGAACAGAAAUGCUCAUCAUGAAAUAAAAGAAUGAUAAAUUUAAUUAUGUUAACAGUAAGAAUUUCUACUCAUGAAAAGGCAUUAUAAAAAUGAGAGAAAAUCACAAACUGAGAGAAGAUAUUUGGAACACACAUAAUUAAUAAAACAUUGCUAUCAAAAUAUAUUUAAAUUUUCUGCAAAACAGUAAGAAAAGUAGUAAAUAGAAAAAUGAGCAAAAGACAUGGACAUUUUACUGUAAAGGGAAAAACAAAUGGCCAAUAAAUAUAUGAAGACAUAUUCCAUUUCAUUAUUGAUCAGAUUAGCAAAAUUAAGGAAGUUUUUAAUAUUAAAUGGUAGAAAGAAUGUGAGCCAAGAACUUGUACUCAUUGCUGGUGGGAACAUUAUCUGGGACAAUUGCUUUAGAAAACAAGAUUCAUGUUUUCUUGUAAGUUGAACAUUUGCAGAUCCUGUUGAUGAGGAUUAUUUUGGGCUGGUUACUUUUGAAAACUGCAGACAGGAGAGACUCGGAAAGGUAGAGUUUGCUUGCCCUUUCUUAAGAGACAUUUGCAUUUGUAAAGGAAAUCUCCAUCUGCAAAGGUGCCUUCCUCUGUGCACCAGGAAGAAAGGGGGAUGACCUUAUCUCUAGAAACUCUUAAUGGGGAAGCAUAGGACAUCCUGACUUAGUCCGCUCUGAUUCUUAUCUAAGUUAUAGGACCACCCAAUAACCAGACCCCACCUGCACUGAGACCAUUUUAACGAUUUUUUCAUGAUUUUUCCUUUGUCUUGUAAAGAAACAACUCACAUACCUAUGCCUUAUAAAUUUAGCUCUAACCCUUAACACAUUGCACCUCUUAUGGCCCAUGGGUCCUUUUCCCAUGCUAUUCCAUACCAUUCUCUGAAUAAAAGAGCACUACUGCCAGACCUUGAAAGUCCAAGAAAUCUUUCUUUCGACUCCUCAACUCACUGAGCCCACAUCACUGUGAUCAGAAGCCAUCCUAUCGCCACACAUACUCAAGAAAAAUCUGUUGACAUGUGCACCAGGAGACACGUACAAUAAUGUUCAUAGCAGCACUAUUCAUAAUAUGAAAAAAGUGGAAGCAAUCCAAAUUCCCAUUGACAAAAGAAUAGACUAUAGAUUGACCUCAAGAGAG
rnacentral:lncRNA from 1 species